UUUUUUUUUGGUCAUUCUAUGACAGAAAACCUGAAAGUCAGAAAAGGUUUUCAUCCACUUGGCAUCCCAGUAAGAGACUGACUAUCUCCUACUCCUGGAGCCAGUUGGUCUCUUGUCCACUCUACUGUCUGACGAGGGGUUUCUGUUAAACCAGAACAGCAAGGAUAGGAUUGCCUUUCAACCGGUGGGUGUAUCAGUGCAACGGUGGAAGCCUUUUUAUAACGGCCUCGCGGUCUACCACUGCCUCAGAGAAAACAGAAGCAUUGCGGCAUGCCUUCACCAAUCAUAGCGGCACAAAGGCCCAGGCUUCCUAAAGGCUUUCAGUUUUCUUUAUGAGUUGAAUAUGGCCUCAUAUAGGACAGGGAGGGGAAGGAAAUCAGACUUUAGAAAGUAAUAGUAAGACUUUCCCUGCGGUUAGGAGCACGAUUACAGUAGGAGCUAGAAGCCGGUAUUUGAUACGGUACCUGGACACACCAAGUAACAAAUCACACAAACUAGCUUUGGCUCAAUUGUUUAGAUUGAUUGAAAAUGGCAUAUAGCAUAGGUGGCGGCAGCCUAGAAGUAAGGUUUUCCUGGAACAGAGCCAUGCCGCUCACUUACACGUAGUCUCUGGCUGCUUUUGUGCCCCAACGGCAGAACUGAGCAGCUAUGAGAUUUUGUAUGACCCACCAAGUCUAUAAUAUUUAUACAAAGAGCUUCAUCAGCCCUUGCUUUGAAUAACUAAUUGAUUUUCUUUUCCAGGAGCUGGCAGGGAAGGGAGGUGGACUGGUUUUGUGUCCUAGAAGUAGAGCCUGAUACCCCGGUUAGGGCAUGAGAAGUAGGGAAGAGUCGAGGCAGGGCUCCUGCGUGGCGUGCUGGAUCUGAGGGCAUGUAGCUCUGAAAAUAGACUCAGUGGCCUUCCAACCUGCAGUCCACUUUACUGUGUUAGAGUUUGGAGCCAAGACCUCAAGUCACAAUAGUUUAUUUGCUUUGCUACCUCUGGACAAACAUCUUCUCCAAGAUACUGUGGGAAGGUGAGUGACGGAUCCAAGGCAGAACCCGGUAUACCCAGAAUUGGGUUUUCCCGGGUUCCUAUCAGAAUGCUGCCUGGUAAUGCCUUCAUUGCAUCAGACGUUUGUCUGCAUUGCUGGAGAAAGCUAGUUGAGCGUGCUUGCUGCUAAGGGUUUAAAUUUCUCAUCUCUGAGUAGGCUUAUGGCACCAUCCAUCACAAGCUCAAGCCUGUAAUGUCCCAGCAAAACUGAAGGAGUUCCUUUCUGAUGCUGCCAAUCCCACCUCCCCUCCCAAAUUCUGAGUGAGAACGCCAGCCUUUUGUAGCAGCUCCACAGAGCUAGGGGGUUGGCUUGGAUGCUGAGAGAUACGGUGGACGGUUAGCUUGUUUUCACUAUAUUCUGCUUACUUGUAUUUUAUCUUUGUAGCUUACACUUUUAAAAUUUUUUACUAGGAAGUAGGAGUUUGUGAAUCUAAAACCAAGGAAAAUGUAUGCUUGAACUUUGCAGGGGUUUAUUCCAUACUCCCAAAUGUAGAUCUUCAAUUUGGCCUCCUUUGAGUCCUUGGACUCAAGUAAAAAGAAGUCAGCAUUAUUAUCAUGCUACGUGUUCUACAUGAGUGCUCCUUUAGUCCUUACAGAGACCAUGAGGUUAUUUAUUAUAAGGAAAUGGAAUCUUAGAGAUGCUAGCCUGCUCAAGUUACCCCACGUGGAGGUAAUGAUGCUAGGAUUUCAACCUAAGUAACCUAACGGUUUUUGUUCCUGCACUCCAUGCUGCAUGGGCCUUCUUAAUGUCAGUCCAUUAGGGAGGCCAAAGUUUCACAUUAAAAAUAGCUCCGUUUAGAAUCUGGAAGUUUCAAAGACCAGACAGUAGUAAAUCCAGCUUUAAGUCAGUUUACAGGCUUUGUGAAACAAUGUUUUUCCUUCCAUAGCCAUUUGGUCUUUAAGGAAAUGGAUACCUAGGCAUCUUUGUGAAAUAGAUUGGAAAACUUUCUAAGGAGUACCCUUUAAUGCAACCUCAACUUAACCUUGAAAAACAGUGUGACAGGUAAUUGUUGGUUUUUCUCCCCAACAGCCACCUCUCUUCUUCCUAACAAAAUCCCAACCUUGUUCAGGUUUGGGUGACAACUUGCUUAACGGAUCACUGGCUUGCCCUAAGAUGUGAAUGUUGGUUAGUCCAAAUCAUUCACGGGAUUCUGUUUUCCUUGCCAGGGAUUGGUUUAGGCACGGACACAUGAUACAACCUGGGACAAUAAUACAAAGAUGGCAGACCAUUGGGGUGCUUUUGUAAGGUUUUUCUAACUUUUGAAAUUAAAAAAAAAAGAAAAAGCACUAGUUGAAGCUCAUCCCUUCCUACAUUUGUACGUUGCAAAUGAGAUGUAGUAUUUGAGGCUAAGCAGUCCUCUUGUCACCAUGAGGGGAGAACCAAGUGAAUUACACAGAAUCCUUGGAAACGUUGCACUUUUGAAUCAAUCAGUGUUGGAAUAACCUAUUCUGUAUUUGUUAUGAUAAAGAAUUCAUUAUAUUAUGAUUUAAGACACCCGUAUGCAUUUUUACCAAAAUGGUCUGAUUACCCUGACCUUUUCCACAAGACUCUUUGGAAGAAGGUACAACAGAGAAAAGCAAGGCAAAGCUGACUAAGCAGAUGUCCCUUCCUUCAAAGCGAAGCUCAAUGCAGCCUUUUGUUAAGAAGUUCCUGAGUACAGGAAAAAAAGGCACUUAGGAGUGGAGUUAGUACUUGAGACUUUAAGAAGUCUUUACAAAGACAAGGGUUUCUGAUAUUCCUUAACCAAAAGGGGCUCAAAAAAACCCUGUGCCUUGCUAGAGCAAAGGAAGGUAUUUUCGAUCAUGGAGCACGGUGCCCUUUCAAGGAGGAAGUCCCAGGGUUCUAGAAGCUAGUCAACAAAUGUUUUCUAAAUAGCUGUGAACUCUUGGCCUAUGUAAGAAGAAAGAUCACCCAAAGGGGGCUUGAAAUUACAGAACUCACUCUUAGACAAUCCUGGUACUAAAACUUGCCAUCCCUACAUCUUUUUCACCCAUUCUUUAAGGCAGUUUGUUUUCUCCCUGCUUUCAAGAGGGCCAGGCUAGCUGACUCCCUAUAGUGCUUGUCUUUUUUCAGUAAAUACCCCUUAGAAGAAGUCUUAUUUUAAGUAAGGUUUGUCUUUAGCACGUGUAUAUACCACUCUCAGAAAGCCACUGGUGGUUUACUCUCUUGGAAUUUCGCACCACCUUUUAAAAUUUCCAAUAAGCAUGGGAAGUUUCCUUAUUUGCAGUGCUCCUUUCAAUUGCUGAUUUCUAUGAGCUUGAUAAGUCUUUAAUAGGAUUUCUGUUAUAUUUACUAUUUGUAUUACCUGCUUAUUGCUGUUGCAAAUUACCACAAACUUGGUGGCUUAAAACAAAGCAAAUUUAUUUCUAAUUUCUCUCUGAUCUCUGCUUCCCUCUGAUUAUAUUGGGCUCCCUAGGACAAUCUUCCCAUCUCAAAACCCUUAAUUGAAUCACAACUACAAAUCCUCUUUUGCUAUAUAAUGCUAACAUAUCCCUACGGGUCAUUAUUUAGGCUACCACUCUACUAUUUCUAGUAUUACUAACAUUUUGUUGUAUACCAUGAGCGAGUUACUGGGCUAACUCUUUACUUUUUUAAAUCUCAAUUAGUCCACAAGCCACAUACUAAGAUUGUCUUUCUCAGGUUUGUGACUAAGCCAUUGCUUUCUGGUAAGUGCAGUAAUUCCGUCACAAAAUUGAGUAACAAUGAUUCACAAAAUUUGCAUUCCCACUGCAAUCUAGCACUGACUUAUAUAUACCUACAAUUAUAAAAAUAAGAUUACAAACUUGUAUUUUUAGAAAAAUGUAAGUCAUGUGGGGUAGAAACUUGCAUUUAGAAAUAAGCUACAUUUAUGAGUGGUUGAAACUAAAGCUGUGGUUACUGGGUUGAGUUAGCUUAGAUCCAUGAGACCAAUGCUAAUUAGAUUUAUGGUUGCUACCCCUAAGUGGGACAUUUCAUUGCACUCAGCUUAGAAAUCAUGACUUAAAUUCUUGACAAAAAUACUGUGAAAUGCAGAUAUUCAAGGAGGGCCUUCAUCAGAGAACUGUGGGUUAAUGCCCCAAAUCCAUUACUGCUGCUCAAAAACUGAUUUAUAAACUGAUGAGCAUUGAAGAGUCCCUCAUUAUCAUGUAGUUGAGAAGCAUCUGUUUAGUGUACGCCUGCCGCUCACAUUUAUUAGAUGCAGUCCUUAUUGUACUGUGAAGCACUAUGAAGGGCAGCUGAUUUAUCUAAACAGAAAGACCUGCCAAAUGACAAUUUGGCACCUAAAACAUUGCUAGAUAUUAGACAGGUUAGAGACUUGAACACUAGUUUGAGCCCCUUAAUGGUGUGAUUUGAUUAGGGCUUUUUAAAGAUUGGAUAUAGUUAAGGAGAUAUAUACCAUUAUAAAACUUGAAUAUAGAAAUAGUUUAGCCCAGUGGCUUCCAGUCUGUUGGCUGUAAACUAGCAGCAUAUGGGAGUUAUUGUAAGGAGCCCAUUAAUCCAUUUGAGCACCAAAUGUUGUUUGUAGACUAGGUAUAUCCUACGUAUCAAAUGCAGAUAUGGUUGUGAUGAGUAACACAAAUUUUCAUUAAAAGACCACUGAGGGUGGUAGAAGGGGAGAAGGGCGGGGGGUGGGAGUGAAUGGGUGACGGGCACUGGGGGUUAUUCUGUAUGUUAGUAAAUUGAACACCAAUAAAAAAUAAAUUAAAAAAAAAAAAAAA
rnacentral:lncRNA from 1 species